GGAUCCAGACUUUGAUUAUGGCUCAGGAUGAACGCUAGCUACAGGCUUAACACAUGCAAGUCGAGGGGCAUCAGGAAGAAAGCUUGCUUUCUUUGCUGGCGACCGGCGCACGGGUGAGUAACACGUAUCCAACCUGCCCUUUACUCGGGGAUAGCCUUUCGAAAGAAAGAUUAAUACCCGAUGGCAUAAUGAUUCCGCAUGGUUUCAUUAUUAAAGGAUUCCGGUAAAGGAUGGGGAUGCGUUCCAUUAGGUUGUUGGUGAGGUAACGGCUCACCAAGUCUUCGAUGGAUAGGGGUUCUGAGAGGAAGGUCCCCCACAUUGGAACUGAGACACGGUCCAAACUCCUACGGGAGGCAGCAGUGAGGAAUAUUGGUCAAUGGGCGCUAGCCUGAACCAGCCAAGUAGCGUGAAGGAUGAAGGCUCUAUGGGUCGUAAACUUCUUUUAUAUAAGAAUAAAGUGCAGUAUGUAUACUGUUUUGUAUGUAUUAUAUGAAUAAGGAUCGGCUAACUCCGUGCCAGCAGCCGCGGUAAUACGGAGGAUCCGAGCGUUAUCCGGAUUUAUUGGGUUUAAAGGGAGCGUAGGUGGACUGGUAAGUCAGUUGUGAAAGUUUGCGGCUCAACCGUAAAAUUGCAGUUGAUACUGUCAGUCUUGAGUACAGUAGAGGUGGGCGGAAUUCGUGGUGUAGCGGUGAAAUGCUUAGAUAUCACGAAGAACUCCGAUUGCGAAGGCAGCUCACUGGACUGCAACUGACACUGAUGCUCGAAAGUGUGGGUAUCAAACAGGAUUAGAUACCCUGGUAGUCCACACAGUAAACGAUGAAUACUCGCUGUUUGCGAUAUACAGUAAGC
rnacentral:rRNA from 1 species